rnacentral:tRNA from 1 species
GGAGAGGUGACAAAGUGGCCGAUGAACCCGCACUCGAAAUGCGGCGUGGGGGUAACUCCACCGUGGGUUCGAAUGCCACCCUCUCCGCCA